rnacentral:rRNA from 1 species
UGGGGAAUUUUGGACAAUGGGCGAAAGCCUGAUCCAACAAUGCCGCGUGUGUGAAGAAGGCCUUCGGGUUGUAAAGCACUUUUGUCCGGAAAGAAAUGGCUCUGGUUAAUACCUGGGGUCGAUGACGGUACCGGAAGAAUAAGGACCGGCUAACUACGUGCCAGCAGCCGCGGUAAUACGUAGGGUCCAAGCGUUAAUCGGAAUUACUGGGCGUAAAGCGUGCGCAGGCGGUUGUGCAAGACCGAUGUGAAAUCCCCGAGCUUAACUUGGGAAUUGCAUUGGUGACUGCACGGCUAGAGUGUGUCAGAGGGGGGUAGAAUUCCACGUGUAGCAGUGAAAUGCGUAGAGAUGUGGAGGAAUACCGAUGGCGAAGGCAGCCCCCUGGGAUAACACUGACGCUCAUGCACGAAAGCGUGGGGAGCAAACAGGAUUAGAUACCCUGGUAGUCCACGCCCUAAACGAUGUCAACUAGUUGUUGGGGAUUCAUUUCCUUAGUAACGUAGCUAACGCGUGAAGUUGACCGCCUGGGGAGUACGGUCGCAAGAUUAAAAGCUC